rnacentral:rRNA from 1 species
GACGAACCGUCCAAACGUUAUUCGGAUUCACUGGGCUUAAAGGGCGCGUAGGCGGCUCAGAAAGUAGGGUGUGAAAGCCCUCGGCUCAACCGAGGAAUUGCGCCCUAAACUACUGGGCUUGAGGAACGCAGAGGUAAGCGGAACUUACGGUGGAGCGGUGAAAUGCGUUGAUAUCGUAAGGAACACCAGGAGCGAAAGCGGCUUACUGGGCGUUUUCGU